AUUGAACGCUGGCGGCAGGCCUAACACAUGCAAGUCGAGCGAGCGGCGGACGGGUGAGUAAUGUAUGGGGACUGCCCGAUAGAGGGGGGUAACUACUGGAAACGGUAGCUAAUACCGCAUACCAGCGGCUAAACCAAAUGGGAUUAGCUAGUAGGUGAGGUAAGGGCUCACCGAGGCGACGCUCCCUAGCUGGGCUGAGAGGAUGCUCAGCCACACUGGGACUGAGACACGCCCCAGACUCCUACGGAGGCAGCAGUGGGGAAUAUUGCACAAUGGGCGCAAGCCUGAUGCAGCCAUGCCGCGUGUAUGAAGAAGGCCCUAGGGUUGUAAAGUACUUUCAGUCGGGAGGCGUUACCGACAGAAGAAGCACCGGCUAACUCCGUGCCAGCAGCCGCGGUAAUUC
rnacentral:rRNA from 1 species